GACGAACGCUGGCGGCGUGCUUAACACAUGCAAGUCGAACGGAAAGGCCCUGCUUUUGUCGGGUGCUCGAGUGGCGAACGGGUGAGUAACACGUGAGUAACCUGCCCUUGACUUUGGGAUAACUUCAGGAAACUGGGGCUAAUACCUGAUAGGAGCUCCUGCUGCAUGGUGGGGGUUGGAAAGUUUCGGCGGUUGGGGAUGGACUCGCGGCUUAUCAGCUUGUUGGUGGGGUAGUGGCUUACCAAGGCUUUGACGGGUAGCCGGCCUGAGAGGGUGACCGGCGACAUGGGGACUGAGAUACGGAGCAGAGUCCUACGGGAGGCAGCAGGGGGGAAUAUGGCACAAUGGGCGGAAGCCUGAUGCAGAAACGCCGCGUGCGGGAUGACGGCCUUCGGGUUGUAAACCGCUGUAGCCUGUGACGAAGCGGGAGUGACGGUAAUGGGUAAAGAAGCACCGGCUAACUACAUG
rnacentral:rRNA from 1 species